rnacentral:rRNA from 1 species
GACGAACCGUGCGAACGUUGUUCGGAUUCACUGGGCUUAAAGGGCGCGUAGGCGGUCGGCCAAGUCUGGGGUGAAAUCUUUCGGCUCAACCGGAAAAGUGCCCCCGAUACUGGCCGUCUAGAGGGAGGUAAGGGCAUGUGGAACUUCCGGUGGAGCGGUGAAAUGCGUAGAUAUCGGAAGGAACGCCGGUGGCGAAAGCGACGUGCUGGACCUCAUCUGACGCUGAGGCGCGAAAGCCAGGGGAGCAAACGGG